UGGCGAACGGGUGAGUAACACGUGAGUAACCUGCCCUUGACUUUGGGAUAACUUCAGGAAACUGGGGCUAAUACUGGAUAGGAGCUCCUGCUGCAUGGUGGGGGUUGGAAAGUUUCGGCGGUUGGGGAUGGACUCGCGGCUUAUCAGCUUGUUGGUGGGGUAGUGGCUUACCAAGGCUUUGACGGGUAGCCGGCCUGAGAGGGUGACCGGCCACAUUGGGACUGAGAUACGGCCCAG
rnacentral:rRNA from 1 species